rnacentral:lncRNA from 7 species
AGUCCUGCUGGUGUCUGAAACCCACGUAAGCCUGGAGAAAGUUAGAGGAAGAUAUGUGCUACACACACAGAAUCCUUUUGCUGUCUUUGUUUGCUGGUCGAGAAAUAGAGCUGGUUAUUUUAAUUAUUCCAAGAAAGCAUCAGUCAUACUAUAUCAACAAUGAUUUAUAGAACAGAGAUGUUUGCUUUUGGUCUGUUGUAGUAUGCCAUACAGUAAUAUCCACUCCUAUAAGUUAGGCCUUCAUUAGACAUCUCUGCUAAGAGAUUUUCAGGAUGACAGUGCAAAGUCAAGUGACAGACUGAUCACUGUACUUUGAAAAAAAAUUCCUCUGCUAGACUAAUUUUGAGAUGAUAUAUAUGCACUAGAGGGUUACCUUGCUUGUGCUUUUUCCAUGUUAUUCUGAUGUUAGAUAACUCUAGCUACUGCUAGCUUAGCUCAAAUAUUGAUGGCAAGAUCAGUGUGGCAUGAAGAGCAUGUUAUUUCAGAAUCUGCUUCACCUCUAACUUGGACUGAUUGUUUUUAGGUUAAGGAUAAAUUCUACCUAUUCUUCCUCAGUCCUUUUGCUCUGGGAAGUACCAUGUCACAAUGGCAACUUUUGUGGAGUGAAUAUGAGCCCUCACUGCAGUAUUGGCUUAAUUAGCUGAUGUUAGGAACCGUGGGGGUGUUUGGCAGUUUCUGGUCCAGGUACCAGUUUCCUUCUGGUAUCUUAAAUCCAGCUCAAAGUUCCUGGAAGAGUACAGUCCCAGCUAGACUGAUGUUGGCUUUUCAGAGAACUGUCAUUUUGCUAGCGCAGUAAGUCAGGGAAAAGAGUCCUGGGCUUUGAUGGAUAACAGACAAAUUACUCAUGUAGGCAAGUGAGAAAUCUGGGACCCUCUUUUUGGAGCUAUCUCCACUCUCCUAUCUUUUAAAGAGUAAAUCAUAAGUCAUUCAUCUUCCCCAAAUAAAGAUUUUGGCCAGGCCAGGUGAAUCGUCUAAAUCUUUGCUGAUCUUAGAGACUUUGUGUAAGCCACUUCCUUGCUUCUGUGGCACCCUUGUGUGAUCUGAAGCACAUCUCCCAGAGAAGAUGUUUCCUCUCAGACCAACUUGAGUGUCCACCUGUUGUCCUCUGGGCUCUGUUUUUCAAAUUGCGUAUCUGAACAAAGUCUUCGACUGUGACUCCCUGCAAUAGAGAAGCACCCAGGAGUUGCAAAGGUGAUAGUUUGAAAAACAUGAAGUGAUGGCAUAUACUUGGAUAUAUCACAGUCCAGAACAGAAAAUCUGUCAUUUGGGAAAAUAUAUAAAUUAGAAGAGGUGAUGACUUGAAGACAUGGAGACUUCUACCUAGAUGCUGAAGACACCUGUGAGCUGGAAACUCACUGAGAAGUGACUAAUCUAGUAUUGCUCCGUCAAGGUUGUCUGAGAUCCUAGUCCACUUGUUGUAUGAAUUGCCACUCAUGUUGGCAGUUCAAGGAAAGAAGCUAAGAGCAGAAUUGGAGUAGACAAAGGCAUCCUUUCAGUCCAAAAUAAUGAUCAACAACUCUUGUAAAUUGCUUCUUACUCAGACAUGGAGAUAACGUGGAGAAGGCUGCCCGUGUCUGACAGUUCUAAGGCAGGGGGAAGUGGAAAUGAGGUUGAAGUAUUUGAUCUCCAACGCUGUUAUCAAAUGUUCCAGCGUCACUACUGGAAUCUUUCAUUUUCCUGUUAUUGUUAUCUGGUCUUUUUGGUUUUAUUUCAUUCUCAAGUAUGAACUAGUAGCUCCAAUACACUUAGCAAAGAUUAUUUAAGGGCAAGUGGAACAUACUAGCUGGCUCUGGUUAGUUUCUUUGUUGGGCCACAGUGUUGAACAGACAUGAUUCAUCAAUGAAGGCAGUGCACUCAGAGUUGUUUGGAAUUCUUUAACUUUCAUGUUUUGAUAUAAUGUUAAAAACUGUCCUCCAGAAAAUCUGCUCUUUUUCAGAACUAGAGAACUUGCAGAGGAGCCUGUGAAAUGGUUAAAGAAAUUUAAGUUCCUUGUAUAAAUUCCAUUACAAUAUUCUAGAGAGAAAAUCUUAAAAAUAACAGGAAAAGAAAUGUAUUGGAUAAUUCACCAAUAAGAAUACGCAAUACUGAGAAAACAACAAAGAUAAAGAGUUCUUUGUUUGUUUGUUUGUUUGUUUGUUUGUUUGUGAGGAUCUGAAUCAUACAGAAAUAGUAAUCUGAGAGCAUUGUUUUCUUUUGACAAAUCUUGGUCAAACUUUACUUUCACAUUAAAACCUUGAUAUCAGCAAACU